AUUCCCCUAGUAACUGCGAGUGAAGCGGGAAAAGCUCAAAUUUAAAAUCUGGCAGUCUUUGAUUGUCCGAGUUGUAAUCUAGAGAAGUGUUAUCCGCGUUGGACCGUGUACAAGUCUCCUGGAAUGGAGCAUCAUAGAGGGUGAGAAUCCCGUCUUUGACACGGACUACCAGUGCUUUGUGAUGCGCUCUCAAAGAGUCGAGUUGUUUGGGAAUGCAGCUCAAAAUGGGUGGUAAAUUCCAUCUAAAGCUAAAUAUUGGCGAGAGACCGAUAGCGAACAAGUACCGUGAGGGAAAGAUGAAAAGAACUUUGGAAAGAGAGUUAAACAGUACGUGAAAUUGCUGAAAGGGAAACGCUUGAAGUCAGUCGCGUUGGCUGGAAAUCAACCUUGCUUUUGCUGGGCGUACUUUCUAGUCAAUGGGUCAGCAUCAAUUUUGACCAUUGGAAAAAGUGUAGAGGAAUGUGGCAUCUUCGGAUGUGUUAUAGCCUUUGCUCGCAUACAGUGGUUGGGAUUGAGGAAUUCAGCACGCCGCAAGGGCCGGGUUUCGACCACGUUCGUGCUUAGGAUGCUGGCAUAAUGGCUUUAAUCGACCCGUCUUGAAACACGGACCAAGGAGUCUAACAUACCUGCGAGUGUUUGGGUGGAAAACCCAAGCGCGUAAUGAAAGUGAAAGUUGAGAUCCCUGUCGUGGGGAGCAUCGACGCCCGGACCANACCUUUUGUGACGDAUCUGCGGUAGAGCAUGUAUGUUGGGACCCGAAAGAUGGUGAACUAUGCCUGAAUAGGGUGAAGCCAGAGGAAACUCUGGUGGAGGCUCGUAGCGAUUCUGACGUGCAAAUCGAUCGUCAAAUUUGGGUAUAGGG
rnacentral:rRNA from 1 species